ACACAAACAUCAUCAUGUCAGAAUCAGGCUCUUCAACAGGAAUCAAACACCAGGAUGAGUUUGAAACACUCAUGAAGCAGGAAACGUUCUGAGGGAACGUUAAUAGAACGUUUGUUCAAAGCUGUGUGGUCUUUAAUAAAUGUUAGCAGCACAAAAAUCUUAUUUAAUACAUCGAUCAUGGAAUAUUUUUUUUCUGAAUCAUUAUAGUUCAUCUAACAUUUUUUAAACGUUUCUACUUGUUUCAGAACGUUCAGAGAACAUUCAAAAGUAACGUUCCCACAAUGUUUGAAGAAUGAUACAAUGGAAUGUUCCCUUAACGUUCACAUAACCAAGAAACAACGUUUUAAAAUAUUAAAAAAAACAUUCAGAAAUAACGUUUUCAUAACUUAAUGGUAACGUUAGCAAAACAUUCUUAGAAUAUAUAUAUUUUUUCUAUAUAAUUUCUUGUUUUAUUUUGAUGUUGGGGUAAAAUCUGACCUGAUGCGAUGAUUGACAAACAUAAUAAAAAUAUAUGAGAAGAAA